rnacentral:rRNA from 1 species
CCUACGGGUGGCUGCAGUGGGGAAUAUUGCACAAUGGGCGCAAGCCUGAUGCAGCCAUGCCGCGUGUGUGAAGAAGGCCUUCGGGUUGUAAAGCACUUUCAGCGGGGAGGAAGGCGUUAAGGUUAAUAACCUUGCCGAUUGACGUUACCCGCAGAAGAAGCACCGGCUAACUCCGUGCCAGCAGCCGCGGUAAUACGGAGGGUGCAAGCGUUAAUCGGAAUUACUGGGCGUAAAGCGCACGCAGGCGGUCUGUCAAGUCGGAUGUGAAAUCCCCGGGCUCAACCUGGGAACUGCAUUCGAAACUGGCAGGCUAGAGUCUUGUAGAGGGGGGUAGAAUUCCAGGUGUAGCGGUGAAAUGCGUAGAGAUCUGGAGGAAUACCGGUGGCGAAGGCGGCCCCCUGGACAAAGACUGACGCUCAGGUGCGAAAGCGUGGGGAGCAGACAGGAUUAGAUACCCGUGUAGUC